GUCGAACGAUGAAGCCCAGCUUGCUGGGUGGAUUAGUGGCGAACGGGUGAGUAACACGUGAGUAACCUGCCCCCGACUCUGGGAUAAGCCCGGGAAACUGGGUCUAAUACCGGAUAUUACCUCUUGCCGCAUGGCAGGUGGUGGAAAGAUUUAUCGGUGGGGGAUGGACUCGCGGCCUAUCAGCUUGUUGGUGAGGUAAUGGCUCACCAAGGCGACGACGGGUAGCCGGCCUGAGAGGGUGACCGGCCACACUGGGACUGAGACACGGCCCAGACUCCUACGGGAGGCAGCAGUGGGGAAUAUUGCACAAUGGGCGAAAGCCUGAUGCAGCGACGCCGCGUGAGGGAUGACGGCCUUCGGGUUGUAAACCUCUUUCAGUAGGGAAGAAGCGAAAGUGACGGUACCUGCAGAAGAAGCGCCGGCUAACUACGUGCCAGCAGCCGCGGUAAUACGUAGGGCGCAAGCGUUAUCCGGAUUUAUUGGGCGUAAAGAGCUCGUAGGCGGUUUGUCGCGUCUGCCGUGAAAGUCCGAGGCUCAACCUCGGAUCUGCGGUGGGUACGGGCAGACUAGAGUGAUGUAGGGGAGACUGGAAUUCCUGGUGUAGCGGUGAAAUGCGCAGAUAUCAGGAGGAACACCGAUGGCGAAGGCAGGUCUCUGGGCAUUUACUGACGCUGAGGAGCGAAAGCAUGGGGAGCGAACAGGAUUAGAUACCCUGGUAGUCCAUGCCGUAAACGUUGGGCACUAGGUGUGGGGGACAUUCCACGUUUUCCGCGCCGUAGCUAACGCAUUAAGUGCCCCGCCUGGGGAGUACGGCCGCAAGGCUAAAACUCAAAGGAAUUGACGGGGG
rnacentral:rRNA from 1 species